ensembl:lncRNA
CUUGGGCAGGCUGGGACUGGCCAGGACACCACAGGGUUGCCAGGUGACAGACAACAGCGUGCCGAGCAGCUCCGGGGUGCACUGUGCCUCCUCCCAGGGAGGUUCCUCUCCGUGCCCCCCGGCCAUCACAGCGCAGGCAGCUGAGCCCGGCUGCAUCCCGCUUGGGACGUUCACUCUGAAGCGUAAUGAGGACCUUGAGCCUUCUGGAGCAGAGCCCUGCAACCCGGGGCACCCCAUCCCUGUCCCCCCCGCAGCAGCGCAGUGCUGGGACGUAUGGCAGAGCCUGCAGUGCCUCUCCUGACACUGUCGAUGUCCGUGGGACGGCCGUGGCUCCCGCUGAGGGCAGAGCUCCGGCUGCAGAUCCCAGCUUGGGAGGCUCCAGAUUUGCUGCUCCCCACGCAGGGAUGGUGGAACGCGGAGCGUGGAGCUGCUGGGGGCCACAGUGGGGCAGCAGGAGCAGCUCCAGCUCUGUGUGCACCGAGGAUGUGGCUGCCAGGUGUCGGGAGGGCACAGUGGGGACCUCCGAGGAGGAGGAGGAUGGCAGCGGGCAGGAUGGGGCCCCGCUCCCGUGGCAGUGCCCCUGGCAGGACAUGUCCCCAGGGCUGAUGAGGAGGGGGAGUCUGGAGUCGCUGGGAGCCAGGAUAUCCAGGCUGAGCCAGAGUGGGGCUGUGACCCCCUGCCCGGCCCCCUCCGGGCACCCAGCGCAGGGCAGGGGGGAUGCAUCCCACUGGGGCUCACGCUCCAGGGCAAAGCCCUCAGUCACCACUGUGCAUGGUGGGGAUGGGGACGCUGGACAUCUCCGGAGACCCUCAGGCAGCUCAGCCAGCAGGAGCAGGGCCAGGGCCAUGGGACACUGCAGAUGGCAGGAGCCACCAGCACGCCGGGGGUGGCAUGGAGGGGACGUCACCCUCACUGCAGAGAAGGAAGGAGAUGGCGACGGGCGGAGGAGAGCUCUCUGCACCAAAGCAGCAGUGGGACCCACCAGGAGAUGCAGCCCCUGGGCAGAGGGGCAGCACGAGGUGUCCUGCCCAGGGCAUGCAGCCAAGCCCCGGUGGCAGCGCUGGAAGCAGAAGGCCGUCCUGUCCCAUAGGCUGGCAGCGCUGCGCCGGGCCCUGAGGAGCAGCCAGGAGGGGAUGCAGGAGCCAGGAGCUGGAGCUCAGGGCAUGCAGAGCGAUGGGGAUGGGGCCAGGGCGCGUGCGUGGGAUUGUGUGGAUGUGGAGGAGGUGGUGAGCACUCUGAGAUGGGCAAAGGGGGGUGGCAGAGGGACAGGUUGGGGGGCAGCAGGGCAGGGGCUGGGCUGGCCAUGCCAUAAGAAGGGAGGAAGGAGUGGGAGGGAGGCAGAAGGGGGGUCCCUGUCUCAGCAGGGGCAGAAGGGCUGUGCUGAACACCCAGGGAAGGUGAGGAGGAAAACGUUGGAUCUCAGAGAAGAGAAGAGGGAGCUGCAGGAGAGGCUCUGUGGACUGGAGCUCCAGAUGCUCUCCAUGCUGCGGCAGAGGCAGGAGGCCCUGGGGCAGCUGCGGGCAGUGCUGCAGAAGGAGAGGAUGGCCACACUCAGGCGGCUGCAGGAGAGCCUGGAGAAGGUGAAUGGGACCAUCUGUGUCUGUCAGAACUGUCACCCAGAGGAGCUGCCAGCCCCAGGAGCCCUGAAGGAGCCACUGACCCCAGAGAGAGCCCUGCGGGAGGCAGCGACGUGUGUGUGGGAUCCAGCCCGGCCACCAUCUCCUUCCCCUUCUACACCUGGGUUGAGCCAUGCCACAGGUGCACAGAGAAGGGGUGAGCACCUGUGCCACCGCUCAGCCUCUUCCCUGCCCCCAAGCACUGUGCCCUGCCUCCAGCAGCAACACCACACGGCGCUGGGGGUCCUGCACCACAUCCAGCGCUGCCUGCGGGAGCUGCAAGUAGAGGACCUCGGUGUGCUGGGAGCAGAGCUGGGCACCACAGCAAAUGAGGAGAGGUUCCUGAUGCCACCUCUUGACAUUCCUCCAAGCCCCAACAGGAACAAGCUCGCUGCUGCGACCAGGACUCGAGAUGAAGCAUGGAGAAGCUUCUCUUAGGUCCUGGCUGGGCUCCUUCCAAGGGCUGGGGACCGCGGGACAGCAUUUUGGGUGCGAUGGGUGAGGUCACGUGCCUCCACCAGGCUGCUGUCCAAGGUCCUGCCGGGAGAACCUGGAUUCCCAACCAGCAUCUUUGCUCCUCACACUCAUUUAGGAGCUUGGAAUGGAGAGGUCCAUGUUGCAGGGGUGGUCGCUCAGUGGGGUGGGAAUGAAGGUUUUGGGUUGGGGUGAGAUAUGGAGAAGUAGAUGGGGAGUAAGGGCUGGGGGAAAUCUCGUGCCUUCCCAGGUCUGGUUGGCUGGGCCACGCACAUCGGGAGUGCUUUGGGAUGGCUGUGGGCAGAAACACUUCAGGAAAAAAAGAAGUUUAAAAAUGAGGAAUUGUUCUACUUAGGAGCUCUCAAAUAAUUUUAAAGAGGAGAAACCUAUUUCUCAGUCUUCACACAUCUCAAUGGAGAAAAUGCUGUUUUUAAUUUGCAGGAGAAUGCCCAAGGAGAGUUUCUCUGCAUGCGAGGGGGGAAAUGAGAAUUUCAUGCAGUACUGAUUGCUGCACUUCCUUGCUGGAGGAGGCAGGGAGUGAAAAUGGAAAUCUUUGUCUGCUUUCUUCCCAAUCAAAAUAAAAAUGUUCCUCAUUAUAUUUUUCUGGACUGGGGAGAUUUCUGAAUUUACUUCUGAUGCACAGCUCUGUUUGUAAGC